AUGGCGACGGCGAGGAGGGUGGUCCUCAUCCCCGGCCAGAGCAUAAGCCACCUCACGCCUAUGAUGGAGUUCGCCGCGGUCUGUCUCCGUCGUGGCCUUGCCGUCACCGUCGCCGUCCCGGACCCAACCCUUACCUCCCCGGCUUUCCGCUCCACCAUCGGCCGGUACGCCUCCCGGCUCCCCUCCCUCUCCGUCCACUCCCUCCCUCUCCCUCCCGCCCACCACCACUCCGUCGACGCCGCGCACCCGUUCAUCCGCAUGCAGGCCGCCUUCCGCUCCCAGGCGCCCGGCCUGCGAGACUUGCUCCGCAGCCUCCCCGCAGUCCACGCGCUCGUGGCCGACAUGUUCGCCGCUUGCCUCCUCGACGUCGCCGCGGAGGUCGGCGUCCCAGGGCACCUCUUCUACUGCACAGGCGCCGCCAACCUUAGUGUCUUCCUCGAGCUGCCUUCAUUUUGCUCCGGGAGCGGCGGAAACGUGAAAGAUCUCGGCGACGCGCCCGUGUCGUUCCCCGGCGUGCCCACGAUGCCGGCGUCUCACUUGGUCGACGCGGUGCUCGACAGCGGUACGGACCUGUACGCGGCCGUGCUGGACGUAUUCGGUCGGAUGGCGGCAGCGCGCGGCAUUCUGGUGAACACCUUCGAGGCGCUGGAGGGCUCGGCGGUGGCGGCGAUUAGAGACGGGCGCUGCCUCCGCGGCCCUGCCGCCCCGCGGGUCUACUGCGUAGGCCCGUUGAUCGCGGAGGGCGACGCAGAGGAGGAGGAGGAGAGGCACCCAUGCCUCCGGUGGCUGGACGCGCAGCCCGAGGGCAGCGUCGUGUACAUCUGCUUCGGCAGCCGGUGCACGGCCUCGCUGGAGCAGAUCAGGGAGAUGUCCAAGGGGCUCGAGAUGUCCGCGCACAGGUUCUUGUGGGUGCUGCGUGCGCCUCCUGCCUUCGCCGCAGCCGCGGGCGAGCCGGAUGCGACGUUGUCUCUCCUCCCCGAGGGGUUCUUGGCCCGGACGGCGGGUAGGGGCCUCGUGGUGACCGCGUCCUGGGUGCCACAGAUGGACGUGUUGCGUCACGCGUCCACUGGUACCUUCAUAACGCACUGUGGGUGGAACUCGACGCUGGAGGCAGCGGCCACCGGCGUGCCGAUGGUGUGCUGGCCUCUGGAAGCCGAGCAGUGGAUGAACAAGGUGUACAUUGUCGAGGAGAUGAAGGUUGGCGUGGCGGUGAAAGGGUAUAACAAACCCGGGGUGCUUGUCACGGCCGAGAACGUCGAUGCCACGGUUAGGCAGAUCAUGGACAUGGAGUCGGAAGGUCGGCGAGCGGUCGUUGAACGGGCCAUGGCGGUGAAGGAGAGCGCCGCGGCGGCGUGGAAGGAAGGUGGCUCGUCGUGUGCCGCGUUCGCCGAGUUCGUGAAGCAGAUGGAGUAA
rnacentral:rRNA from 1 species